rnacentral:rRNA from 1 species
GUAGGUGGCAAGCGUUGUCCGGAAUUAUUGGGCGUAAAGCGCGCGCAGGCGGUCCUUUAAGUCUGAUGUGAAAGCCCACGGCUCAACCGUGGAGGGUCAUUGGAAACUGGGGGACUUGAGUGCAGAAGAGAAGAGUGGAAUUCCACGUGUGGCGGUGAAAUGCGUAGAGAUGUGGAGGAACACCAGUGGCGAAGGCGACUCUUUGGUCUGUAACUGACGCUGAGGCGCGAAAGCGUGGGGAGCAAACAGGAUUAGAUACCCUGGUAGUCCACGCCGUAAACGAUGAGUGCUAAGUGUUAGAGGGUUUCGCCCUUUAGUGCUGCAGCAAACGCAUUAAGCACUCCGCCUGGGAGUACGGCCGCAAGGCUG